GAUGAACGCUGGCGGCGUGCCUAAUACAUGCAAGUCGAGCGAACGGACGAGAAGCUUGCUUCUCUGAUGUUAGCGGCGGACGGGUGAGUAACACGUGGAUAACCUACCUAUAAGACUGGGAUAACUUCGGGAAACCGGAGCUAAUACCGGAUAAUAUUUUGAACCGCAUGGUUCAAAAGUGAAAGACGGUCUUGCUGUCACUUAUAGAUGGAUCCGCGCUGCAUUAGCUAGUUGGUAAGGUAACGGCUUACCAAGGCAACGAUGCAUAGCCGACCUGAGAGGGUGAUCGGCCACACUGGAACUGAGACACGGUCCAGACUCCUACGGGAGGCAGCAGUAGGGAAUCUUCCGCAAUGGGCGAAAGCAUGACGGAGCAAAGCCGCGUGAGUGAUGAAGGUCUUCGGAUCGUAAAACUCUGUUAUUAGGGAAGAAAAUAUGUGUAAGUAACUGUGCACAUCUUGACGGUACCUAAUCAGAAAGCCACGGCUAACUACGUG
rnacentral:rRNA from 1 species